CAGAUGAUGAAUGGAUGGAUUUUACAUACAUGAUAUAGAGAGAGAUAACUUUUCAGUUCCUAAUUAAAGGAGUUACUUUUUAUUGAUAAGGCAACACAAAACUUGAUUUCUUACAAUGAUUGUAAAAUAACUUUCAUUGUAAAAAAAAAAAAAAUCUAUUGCACAAACUGUUGGAACAGACGCUCACCUGUUUGAUAAUCAGUAAUUAAGCAUUUUAGCACUUAAGCACAAAUGCUAACAAGGUUAGCCAUCCAAGUUUGUACUCAUUUCAAACCACUUCAGUUCUUGGUGAGCCAGAUUCCACUGAAUUUAGCCAGGCGUUGGAGAUGCACCUUUGAACCUUCCGGCAAGUUCAGCCACAGUGGGGCGGGACGCGGUCGUCUCCUGAGGGAGGAUGGAAGGAAGGGAGUCCAGUUAGCAUCAGAUUUGAACAACAGUCACAGAAGAUGACACGCAUGAUUUACCUUCGCGGACCAUAGAAUCAUGUGGCGGGCCGGAUCUGGCCCCCGGGCCCUGAGUUUGACACCACUGAACUACAUCAUAUAAAUUGGGCCAGUUUUUGAAGAGGAACCCACAGCACUGAACGAUGUCUCCACCUUUAAAGGAAAUUGAGCCACAACAGCCAAGCAAAUGUCUUCUUUCACUUCUCCUUUGGUGUUCCAAUACUUCCUCACUUCUUCCUUGUACCAUGUAGCGCAAUGAUUCUCAGUCCGAUUUUAUUAAAGGCGUUCCUGCGACGGCCGCCGCCCGAAACGUCGCCCUCCUCGCGCCCGUCCUCCACAGGACUCCACCUGGGGUGUGCGUGACCCGUCGAAAAGAGAAGGGGACUGUCGGCGGCGUCGGGCGUGAUGC